GACGAGGGGUCCAAGCGUUGUUCGGAAUCAUUGGGCGUAAAGCGGGUGUAGGUGGCUUUGUAAGUCAGGGGGGAAAUCCCCGAGCUUAACUUGGGAAGUGCUUUUGAUACUGCGAAGCUUGAAUGUGGGAGAGGAUCGUGGAAUUCCAGGUGUAGUGGUGAAAUACGUAGAUAUCUGGAGGAACACCGGUGGCGAAGGCGGCGAUCUGGCCCAACAUUGACACUGAGACCCGAAAGCAUGGGGAUCAAACAGG
rnacentral:rRNA from 1 species